UUUUCGUAGGUGAACCUGCGGAAGGAUCAUUAAUGAAGCACAAGAGCGCACUUUACUGUGGCUCGACCCCUUCAUAUCCAUCACCCUGUGAACUGUAAUACCUUUUUUAUCAGACUCUACAAGUCAAAGAAUGUACUACUUUUAUAAAGUAAACAAAACUUUCAACAACGGAUCUCUUGGUUCUCGCAUCGAUGAAGAACGCAGC
rnacentral:misc_RNA from 1 species